rnacentral:rRNA from 1 species
GACGAACGUUGGCGGCGUGCUUAACACAUGCAAGUCGAACGGAAAGGCCCUGCUUGCAGGGUACUCGAGUGGCGAACGGGUGAGUAACACGUGGGUGAUCUGCCCUGCACUUCGGGAUAAGCUUGGGAAACUGGGUCUAAUACCGGAUAGGAGCCAUCUUUAGUGUGGUGGUUGGAAAGUUUUUUCGGUGUAGGAUGAGCUCGCGGCCUAUCAGCUUGUUGGUGGGGUAAUGGCCUACCAAGGCGGCGACGGGUAGCCGGCCUGAGAGGGUGUACGGCCACAUUGGGACUGAGAUACGGCCCAGACUCCUACGGGAGGCAGCAGUGGGGAAUAUUGCACAAUGGGCGCAAGCCUGAUGCAGCGACGCCGCGUGGGGGAUGAAGGCCUUCGGGUUGUAAACUCCUUUCGCUAGGGACGAAGCUUUGUUGUGACGGUACCUAGAGAAGAAGCACCGGCUAACUACGUG